rnacentral:misc_RNA from 1 species
AUGAAUUGUACCUUGGCAAUGCUAUUUAGUAAAUGCGUGGUCCAUCAAGAAGGAAAAAGAAAAAACUAAAGAUGAGACGUAAUUUAGAAUUUAGUUAUCCAAAACUAAUGAAAGUAAUGGCAUUCAAGAAGAAAGUGGGGAAGAGAGAGAAAACAAUAAUAAUAAUGAUAUUCCAGUUAGAGGUAAGAUAUGCCCUGAAGGAGAGCCAACAUUCCAUGACUUGAAUGAAGUUGCUGCAUCUUAUGUCUUAAGAAUCUUCUAUUGAAUUAGCCAAUAAUUAUGGAUAGAAACAAUUUUCUUCAUUAUCGACCAUGAUAUAUAGUGAUCUUUCACCUUGUUAACCUUUAACUUGAACUGAUACUAAAGAGUGCUGCUCCUAUACCCUUCUUUAUGCCUUAUUUUGAGGUUUCAAUGACUUUUUUUUUAAUAAAUUCAGUAUUUAAAGUUGAGAGCUCUUCAACGUCAAUCCUAUACACAUUACUUUUAUGAAGCAACUGUUGGAGCUGGUCUUCCAAUUAUUAGCACUUUACGGGGUCUCCUUGAAACUGGAGAUAAAAUAUUGCAAAUUGAAGGAAUUCUCAGUGGGACUUUGAGUUAUAUUUUCAACAACUUCAUAGGUGCACAAUCAUUUAGUGAAGUGGUGGCACAGGCAAAGCAGGCAGGUUAUACUGAACCAGAUCCAAGGGAUGAUCUAUCUGGAACAGAUGUUGCAAGAAAGGUGAUUAUUCUUGCCAGAGAAUCUGGUUUGAAGUUAGAACUUUCAGAUAUCCCUGUUCAAAGUCUUGUGCCUGAAACAUUGAGAGCCAGUGCAUCUGCUGAAGAAUUUAUAGAGCAGCUACCUCAAUUUGACCAAGACAUGGCAAAGGAAAGACAAGAAGCUGAGGACUCUGGUGAUGUCUUGCGAUAUGUUGGGGUGGUGGACGUGGUGAGGCAAGAAGGGCGUGUUGAGUUGCGAAGGUAUAAGAAAGAUCAUCCAUUUGCACAGCUUUCAGGUUCUGAUAACAUCAUAGCUUUCACUACUACAAGGUACAAGGAACAGCCUUUAAUAGUCCGCGGACCUGGUGCUGGAGCUCAGGUGACAGCUGGAGGAAUAUUCAGUGACAUUUUACGACUGGCUUCAUAUCUUGGUGCUCCAUCAUAAUAACCUCAGCUUUUCUAUACGAGGUUCCAUCUAUGGAGAGCUGAGUUUGUGCUUUUGUCAACGUAGUUGUAGCAGUGUUUUUGCUCUAGUUUUUGUAUGCUAAUGAAUGCUUUGCAAAUAGAGGUGCUUCUUUUACUUGAACAGCUUUUGGUGUUAAGAGUAAGUUUUGCAACCAUUUAUGGGCUUUGGUUUCUUUUUCUUGCCCAAGGCCCUGUAGCUCUUAAAAUUGUUAAAUCUAUUGCUCUCAGAAAUGCUCCUUGAGAAUUCAACAAGAGGCUUGAAUUGAAUGGUGAAGAAUACAGGUUAAAUAUGGUUCAACCUGGUUCGUUAUGUGCUUUUUCUUCUGAUCAAACACCGUCGCCUGUUCAUUUAGAAGUUAAUACUCAGUGUCUUAGAUUUUGA